AGAGGUUUUGGAUCCUGGCUCAGAACGAACGUUAGCGGCGCGCCUAACACAUGCAAGUCGCACGAGAAAGGGCUUCGGCCCCAGUAAAGUGGCGCACGGGUGAGUAACACGUGGGUAACCAACCCUCGAGCGGGGGACAACGUUCCGAAAGGAACGCUAAUACCGCGUAAGACCACGGUCCUAUAACGGGACUGAGGUAAAAGCAGGCCUCUUCAUGAAAGCUUGCACUCGAGGACGGGCCCGCGCCCCAUCAGCUAGUUGGUAGGGUAAUGGCUUACCAAGGCUUAACGGGUAACUGGUCUGAGAGGAUGAUCAGUCACACUGGAACUGAGACACGGUCCAGACUCCUACGGGAGGCAGCAGUGGGGAAUCUUGCGCAAUGGGCGAAAGCCUGACGCAGCGACGCCGCGUGAGUGAUGAAGGCCUUCGGGUUGUAAAGCUCUGUGGGGAGGAAAGAAUAAGUGUGGGCUAAUCACCACAUGAUGACGGUACCUCCUUAGCAAGCACCGGCUAACUCUGUGCCAGCAGCCGCGGUAAGACAGAGGGUGCGAACGUUGUUCGGAAUUACUGGGCGUAAAGCGUGUGUAGGCGGUGAGGUAAGUCGGAUGUGAAAGCCCAGGGCUCAACCCUGGAAGUGCACUCGAUACUGCUUCGGCUUGAGUA
rnacentral:rRNA from 1 species